UCUUCCACUUUAUAAAAACAUUCAUCCAAUCCAAGGCUCCAACUCCACUCGAGCCCACUCGAUCUCGCGUAAUUCGAUCCAGUCCAGUUCAGUCCACUGGUUCCGGUGUUCCAUAGGGUUUAAACUCCAAGGCGUCUUCUUCAUCUUCAAUUUCUACUUCACUGAAUUUCUGAGCUCAUCGACCUCACACAGUUACUGCUAUUAAUGUUUGCAGCAGAUCCGAAACCCUAGAAAUCACGGCUGCCAAGAAAGCGUAAAUGGUGGUUCGAUAAGUUUUUAAGGCAGUAAUGUGGGAUCGUUUGGGUUAUUCAGAAAGAGCGGUGCUUUCGGGUAUACUAUGUUGUGCGAAGUGAUAUGAAGAGUUGAAUAUGAGCGAUGGAGGUGGUGAGAAUGGAAGAGAACGUACACAAUCGAGAAAGUCAGGUGGUGCCGAUGAUUUUGCUAGGGCAAUUGCGAAAGUUGCAGUAGCGCAAAUAUGUGAGAGUGAGGGAUUUCAGGCUUUCCAGAGCUCUGCUCUUGAGACACUCUCUGACAUUGCUCUUAGGUAUAUACAGAGCAUUGGGAAGAGUGCACAUUUAUAUGCUAAUUUAGCUGGCAGAACGGAGUGUAACGUUUUUGAUAUUAUUCAAGGAUUGGAGGAUUUGGGUUCUGUGCAAGGGUUUUCUGGUGCUUCAUUUGUUGGCCAUAGUCUUUCGAGCUCAGGUGUAGUUAGAGAAAUUGUUCAGUACGUGGAUGAAUCUGAUCAUAUACCUUUUGCCUACACUAUUCCGGAAUUUCCAGUUGUUAAGGAGAGGAAGCUGACGCCUAGUUUUCUGCAAACUGGGGAAGAGCCUCCUGAAGAGCACAUUCCUCCUUGGUUGCCUGUGUUCCCUGAACCACAUACUUAUGCCCAAUUGCCAAUACCAGAUGAGAAAGCUGUAGAGCCUAUGGUCAGAAUGGAACUGCAGAAACAUCGAAAGGUUGACCAGACUCUCAUGAAUUUGCAUCAACAAAUGGUUUCCAAUGGCUCGGAGGGUCCCUCCUCUGUAUACCCUGGAGAUCCUGAUAAGGUGAAACAAGCGGAAGAGAGUAACCCAUUUCUUGCUGCACCGCUUGAAUUUGGGGAGAAAGAAGUAUCAGGUCUUGUUCUCCCUGCUAAGCUUUCAGAUAAAGGGACCAUGACGAAUCUUGUUGUGGACAACCAUGUCAUGGAUAACCGUAUUGCUGUGCUGGAAACUUUUGCUCCAGCUAUUGAAGCGAUGAAGGAGAGUUCAUUUGAUACUGAGGAACAGAAAGGGGUUCUUUUGAACAGGAGGCCUACUGUGCGAUUUAAGAUUGGAAUUGGGAAAAAAUCCUUGGGUAACUUGAUACAUUCAAGUCUAGAGAAUGAAAGUUCUGAGAAGAUUUCACCCUGGUUUGAGGGAGAAAGUGAGAAGGAUGAGAAGAAAAGGAGGGCUGGGGAAAUUUUGAAGGAAUCCAUGGAAAACUCACAGGGGCUGGCUCAGUUGUAAAGUAGGUUGGUUUGAUUAGAUUUUGUAUACUUUGUUUAGGAGACUGGCAGUGGAAGCUAGUUCCAGGGUAGUCAAAGUUAAGGGCAUAAUGUUGUCUGCACAUGGCACUAUAGAAUGGAUUUACAAAUUUCUAGAAGAAAUGUUCCCACUUUAACAAUUUUCUGAGUAAAUUUCUUUGCUACCUUGAUGCUUUUCCCUUCCCGAUAGAGGCAAUUCCAAAAUAAAAACGAGAGAGAGAGAGAGGGCCUGCGCAAUAUGGUGCUGUAUGCUUAUUAUGCGAAGUAAUAUGUUUCAGCUAAUUUUUAGCCUUGAAUUUCAUCACAUUCUCUGACAUGUACCACAAAUUCCAUUAUAGAUUUUAUUUUGGUUGAAAAAAUGCAACAUGUAUUUCUGAGGACAACUAGAGCACUAACUUGAGGGAAAAUAUAAUAUUUUAAAAAGUGGUUCUUUUUUAACACUAGUUGGGUGCCUGUCGCAGAGCGUGCUACUUAAGAUAGUAUAAGUAGUCUUUCAAAUAAUGAAUGGGAAUUUCCGGACAAUUUUGAAGGUCAA